rfam:Camelus ferus unplaced genomic scaffold scaffold1030, whole genome shotgun sequence.
GAGGGUAUAGCUUAGUGGUAGAGUGUAUACCUAGCAUGCACAAGGUCCUGGGUUCAAUCCCCAGCACCUUCA